CCUUGCAUACAUUAUGCGUAAAUAUAUUUUAGUGUACAAAUGUUUUUUUUUUAAUUUUAAAAUAUCUUUCUACGCCAGCUGACUCGACUUUUUUUCAGGUGAGGCGUCCAGGUCCAGAUGGACCAAUCAGAUUAACGGUUACUGGAAUACUUUGAUAGCUUCGCUUUUUUUUUUUUGAUAGCUUCGCUUUGAGAAACGAGUUUAUCAUUGUUGUAUCACUGUAUCAACGCUCUGGAUAAAUAAUAUUACAUUGUAUUUUGGUAAAAAAUUACGUGCCAAACAACUUAAAUGUAUAUUUCCGAGCUCGUCGCGCCUUCAUCUGGAGGAACUCCACUAUUAUAUAUUUUUUAUUUUAUAUUUUUAUUGAAUUUUUUUAUUGAAUAAAAAUAUAAGUGACGUGAUGCUGUCGUUUGGAACUGCACGAGGCCUUGUCUCCUACAGUUUAUCCGGCAGAGGGAAGCAAAGUUUCAUUCAUUGCACCGUCUUGAACCAAAGUAGGGAACGACGACCUGCGACUCCACCCACCUGCCAUACCAUAUGACCGGAAGUAAGGAGAGAUUGAUUCGAGGAGAUUUGCAUAUUUGAUGAAAGAUUAUGAGG